rnacentral:rRNA from 1 species
CGUAGGGUGCAAGCGUUAAUCGGAAUUACUGGGCGUAAAGCGUGCGCAGGCGGUGAUGUAAGAUAGGUGUGAAAUCCCCGGGCUUAACCUGGGAACUGCAUUUGUGACUGCAUCGCUGGAGUGCGGCAGAGGGGGAUGGAAUUCCGCGUGUAGCAGUGAAAUGCGUAGAUAUGCGGAGGAACACCGAUGGCGAAGGCAAUCCCCUGGGCCUGCACUGACGCUCAUGCACGAAAGCGUGGGGAGCAAACAGGAUUAGAUACCCUGGUAGUCCACGCCCUAAACGAUGUCAACUGGUUGUUGGGUCUUCACUGACUCAGUAACGAAGCUAACGCGUGAAGUUGACCGCCUGGGGAGUACGGCCGCAAGGUUG